rnacentral:rRNA from 1 species
GACGAACGCUGGCGGCGUGCUUAACACAUGCAAGUCGAACGGAAAGGCCUGCUUUCCCUUGUGGAUUGCGGGUACUCGCGUGGCGAACGGGUGAGUAACACGUGCGUGAUCUGCCCCCAACUUGGGUAUAAGCCUGGGAAACUGGGUCUAAUUCCCGAUAGGACUGCAGGGUGGUGCCUGUAGUGGAACACGAUUUUCUAGUGGUUGUGGAUGAGCUCUCGGCCUAUCAGCUUGUUGGUGGGGUACUGGCCUACCAAGGCGGCGACGGGUAGCCGGCCUGAGAGGGUGGACGGCCACAGUGGGACGGAGAGACGGCCCAGACUCCUACGGGAGGCAGCAGUGGGGAAUAUUGCACAAUGGGCGGAAGCCUGAUGCAGCGACGCCGCGUGGGGGAUGACGGGCUUCGGGUUGUAAACUCCUUUCGACCGCGAGGAAGCCACCUGGUUGGAAGGGUGGUGACGGUAGUGGUAGAAGAAGCACCGGCUAACUACGUG